CAGUAGGGAAUCUUGCACAAUGGAGGAAACUCUGAUGCAGCGACGCCGCGUGAGUGAUGAAGGCUUUAGGGUUGUAAAGCUCUGUUCUCAGGGAAAAACACAAUGAUUGUACCUGAGGAGAAAGGACCGGCUAACUUCGUGCCAGCAGCCGCGGUAAGACGGGGGGUCCUAGCGUUGUUCGGAAUCAUUGGGCGUAAAGCGGGCGUAGGUGGCUAUGUAAGUCAGGAGUGAAAGCCCUGGGCUCAACCCAGGAAGUGCUUUUGAAACUGCGUAGCUUGAGUGUGGAAGAGGAUAGUGGAAUUCCUGGUGUAGUGGUGAAAUACGUAGAUAUCAGGAGGAACACCGGUGGCGAAGGCGGCUAUCUGGUCCAACACUGACACUGAGGCCCGAAAGCGUGGGGAUCAAACAGGAUUAGAUACCCUGGUAGUCCACGCCUUAAACGAUGGGUACUUGAUGUUGGAGGUAUUGACCCCUCCGGUGAAGCUAGCGUUAAGUACCCCGCCUGGGGAGUACGGUCGCAAGAUUAAAACUCAAAGAAAUUGACGGGGGCCCGCACAAGCGGUGGAGCAUGUGGUUCAAUUCGAUGCAACGCAAAACCUACCUGGGUUUGACAUGUAUUGGAAGGAUCCCAGAAAUGGGUCCGCCCGCAAGGGUCGAUACACAGGUGCUGCAUGGCUGUGUCAGCUCGUGUCUGAGAUGUUGGGUUAAGUCCCGCAACGAGCGCAACCCCUGUGUUUAGUUGCCAGCAUUCAGUUGGGCACUCUAAACAGACGCCGACGUUAAGUCGGAGGAAGGUGGGGAUGACGUCAAGUCCUCAUGGCCUUUAUAUCCAGGGCUACACACGUGCUACAAUGGUCGGUACAGAGGGAAGCAAAGCCGCGAGGUAGAGCAAAUCCCAUAAAGCCGAUCUAAGUUCGGAUCGUAGUCUGCAACUCGACUACGUGAAGCUGGAAUCGCUAGUAAUCGUGGAUCAGCACGCCACGGUGAAUACGUUCCCGGGCCUUG
rnacentral:rRNA from 1 species